UAGAAGGAGUCUUAAACCGUAGAAAGUGAAAGUAAAGGUGGGAGAAUGUCUGCGACACUGCACCAGAGCAGACGAUCAACGCCAUAGCAAGGUAGGAUCACUCUAUUUCUAUCUACUAAUAGUGUUACUAAUAUCACUAUUCUGGAUUUGUGUCUGUCAAAUGUAACGACUCCACCACCAGUUGGACUUUAAUGGCAGCGGCCACACAACGAGAAGUGUCUUAUUGAACAGGCUUCUGGAGUGAUUUGUAGGAGGUGUCUGAGGUCUGCAGAGUCGUAUGCUGGACAAGAGUGGACCAGAAUGAAUAAAAGCUCCUUCUUCCCUAGUGUGAGUUUGGAUGGUAACGGUGGCAGCAUGACAUCAUGGAUAUACGCGACUCACCUAUUUCUUUUCGUUUUCCUGAGCACGAUCGGCCUAUCAGAGGAGGGCUGUGAUGAAUAUUUUCAAAUGAAGGACUGGGGAGGAAAGCUGAAUGAAACGUUUGGCCUCGUGAGAACUAAGGAUUCCAAGUACACAAUGGAAUGUACUGCGGAGAAUGAGUGCCUGAACAACAGCAACUUAGGAUGUAAUUUGCUACAUCAAUGCUUUUUGCGGAAAGAUGAUUUAAAUAAUACGAAGAGUGAAAAGUGUAAAGGGGAAAUUUCUCACAAUGUCCAUUACUAUCACUUCAUGUGCUUGACGGCCCAAGCUAUCAACCGCACUUACGAAGGCUGCGAAUACGAAAACGAAUGCAAGACCUAUUCAGAAAUAGUAUCCACUGCCGAGACCUUAACCCUGAAGAUGUUAUUAGUGCUGUCUGUGGUCGUCAAUGUGAUCUCUCUGGCUGUUUACCUGUACAAGCGCCAAACGUGGAGACAGGAGAGGAUACAGUGGGCAGACACACCGCUGCCCUCUACAAAAGGGGAGGUAGAGACCACAUAUUUAAUGAAGCCUUUUGGGUGUAACUCCGUCCUCACAUAUUCAAUUGAUGAUGAUGAUAGGAAAAGUGUUGCUGUUGAAGAGGACAAGCAGCAUUAAAGACCCUACUCACCGUAGAUCUUAAUGAAACACAGCUGUGGGAUGUGACAAAUGCCAGUGAAGGGCAAUAGUUUGCAAAUACCUUGGGCCCCAGACUGAAAGUGAACAAGCUGCAACAUGCCUGCUGCUACAUGCCUGCUGCAACAUGCCUGCUGUCUCAGCCGCGGAAGGUAUUGCCCCAGCACUAAGUGUAAGGGAAUUGAAGUGCAGCAGGACUGUAUAGAGUCUAAUUGACUGAGCUACUUGUCUGGACUAAAUUUGAAGAAUUUGUACCCCUGUGACCAAACAGAAACACAUUGAGAUAUUCACAGGAGAGGGAGUUUGUUUUACCACAGACAAGAGAGAGGGCCAAAGGUUAAAACACCGCAAUGAAAUAUUUGCCGUCAAACCCAAUUCGUCUAAUGGGUAUUAUAAUCAAAAUAAAGAAACUAGUACAGGCCUUUUGUUAGAUAGACAGGUCAUGACAAUAUUAAUAAUAAUCUUUAUUUGUAUAUACAAGAAUUGCAGCCCAAAGUGCUUCACAGCAAAAACAUAACAAUUAGUACAAGAUUAGACAGAAUAAGAGCAUUUACUAUAUGAACUAUAACAAAGCUGAUAAGCCGAAUACUACUAAAGUUAUCGAAUGUUUGCUUCUGAGAAUAAAUACACAGGCAACACUGUUUUUACCAACCAGGACACGUAAUACCUGACCGACACAUAUAUUUCACAGUAUGUAGGGCCUUGUGAAUGUGCAUGCAGCUUUUGUGUUACCUAACUUCACUAUACAGUUUGAAUCUAGUAAUAACAUUACAGCUUUAAUGUCUCCAUUGAUAAAGUAUUUUUACUCACUCCUUCAAUCCAGUCCAACCGUCCAAAGCCGUUAGAGAAAUAAUGCAUGUGACGCAAACUGCACAUUUUGUGGGACGAUGGCUCAGUGAGCCUUUUGCAGCUUUUUGGUGUUUUAAAAUGUCGCCUGAUUUUCUUUAUGUAACAGUCAGACAGAGCAGCAGACAAAGUUCUCUGGGCAUUAGAAACAAAAAAAAGUUUAUUUAUUUGUUUGUUUUGUUGUUUUUUGUUUAGUUUGAUUGUGAUGAAGAUGAAGCUGAAAUGCUGGUCGUGCGCCAAAGAAAGAACAUUUGAAAUGCAUCUAUAUGUGAGCUGCCCAGAGAUUUAUAUUUAUUAUAAUAAAAUGUUAUAAUAACGCAGUCUGAUCCACAGCAUUUUGACCAAUCUUUCAUAAACUGUAAAAACAACCUGACGUUUAUGUGAAAAGUUAUUUAAAACGUAGUUAUUCUGGAUAGGUUCUCCCUCAGACGAGCUUCACAAAUAGAAGCUCUUUGUGUUUAAUGUCAAAUAAACUGUCCACUUAAACAUAUAUAUUCUUUGGACAUGUUACAAAUGGCUCUCAAACAAAUGCAUAUCUAAUACAAAUGAUUUAUGUCAUUUUCUUUUCUGCCAUCCAGAACAAAUGUCAAUAUCUUAUCAGUUGAUAACAUAGAAAUAUCAUUUCAUAAUCAUAACAUACCACCCAUCUGCCUCUCAUAAAUUUGGCAUUUAGCAAGUGUUGUGCUUUGCUUGUAUAUUUUUUAUUAAGUCAUCCAGUUUAUUUAUGGAGCUUUUAACAGACUGAAGAAGAUUGUCCCAGUGUGUCUGCAUGUGUGUAUGUAGGUGAGGUUUUAAUACACGCAGCCAGGAUGAAAGUACUUGUGCAUACAGCUUAGUGUUUAAUAAUAACAGACUGAAGUAUGAGAAAUGUGAGGAGGCGGAAAGAAUGUCACUGGUUGAGAUAAUUACUAAAUUACUUUUGUUUUUCACUCACUUCAGUUAAAGCUGGCCCGUUAGUUCGCUGAGGUUCAGCUCCUCGCUUGUAGUUGUUCCAUGAGACCAGCAGUAGUUGCAUUACAUUAAAGGUCUACAUUAAAAUAAAAAAUGUUCUACUGAUUAAAAGUUAACUCUCGAAAACAAAAGAUCGUUGAGUAUUCAUCAUUUUGGCAGCAUGUUUCAGAGAUAAAGUGGAGUGUGCUCAAUCCUGUUAUGAAAAGCAAACGAAACAUCUAAGUGAUGCCAGGUCUGUUUGUAUUAUUUAACUCCUUUGGUACUUUUUGCAUUGUAUGUUUGUAUUGUAAAAUGUAUUGUGAAAAUGGGAAGAAAUGUAUUCUUACUGACUGUACAAUGUGUUUUGUGUAUAAUUGUUAUGUGUUUAUAGCUGACCAAAGUUCUACACAUAACAGCUUUAAUAUGUGCAUACAUCAUGACAUACCUUAACAAAUAAAGUCAUAAUAAUCUGAUU
rnacentral:lncRNA from 1 species